rnacentral:lncRNA from 1 species
AUGUCCAAAAUAAGUGACUCAUAAAUAUAUUUUUGUCACUACGUCUAUCAACUGCAUAAAUAGACGAUUUAGAAUUGCCAUUGAAAUAUGUUAUCGGAAAAAUGAUUUCAUGCAUAUAUGGAGAAUUGGUUUCGAGUAUCUGCGUGAACCCUUGUGCUACAAGCCUCGCUUUUGAGUUUCACCACCUCAUUAUUUUCAUUUAUCUUUCAAAAGAAAAUUGGUGUAGGUAU